GGAGGUAAAUUACCUUUACCUAUGAAUUUCAAUUUUUAUUUAAAUCUUCAUCAGAUGAGGUACAGAAAAAAAAAUCACCUUGGCAAAAAAACAUCACCUAAAAGAAGGAAACUUUGAAUAAUGGAUGACGACGAAUAAAGCGACAAUGUCACGUUGAUAGGAUAACAUCAUUUCUUCACACGAGGCAAUCUUCGCUGACGCUGUACUGUCUGAAUUUUUCGUUUCCAACAAAUGGAGGAGGAAGAGGAAAAAGAAUUGUUGCUAAAAACUUUUCGUUCCGUUUUAUGUAUCAACAGCACGUACCAGCUCUUGUCAAGAUAUACGGGAAUGUUUUCGAAGAGAGUGAUUUUCGUUAUAGGAUAGAAUAGAAAAUUUUUGCGUGUGUACAUAUAUAUAUGUAUAUGUAAACUUUGCUAACACCCUGAUAUCUGAGCAUGUAAUCGGUACUUCCGCUUUCGUGAUACAAGCAUUUCGUUAUCUUAUCUUGUUUAAAUUGCUCUCAGAGAGAUUGAGUGAUGGAAAGGGUGGGAGAGAGUUUGGACCCCAGUUGUCUUAUCAUCACCCCUUAUCACAAUAAUUAUCCAUCACGCACCACUUUCUUCCUCUCUAUCUCUCCUCCUAAUCGGACGUUAGCGCUUUCGAUUGCAACUUGAUCAAAAUUAUUUAUCUUUGACAAAGAAUACUUUAUCGCAGACUCUCGUGACCGUAUCGAUUCAUAUUGUGAUUUCGAUAAAAUAUUAUUAUUUGUAUGUGAAAUAUUUUUUAUUCAAAAUUUUUAUGUUUUAUUUUUAUAAUUGCUGUUUGUAAUACGAUGAUAAAUUUACAACGAUAAAAAGAAAAAUAAAUCGUCAAUUAUUUGUUUAUAAAAAAAAA